CCUGGGGAGUACGGCCGCAAGGCUUAAACUCAAAGGAAUUGACGGGGGCCCGCACAAGCGGUGGAGCAUGUGGUUUAAUUUGAAGCAACGCGAAGAACCUUUCCAGGUCUUGACAUCCCGCUGCCCGCUUAGGAGACUAGGCUUUCCCUUCGGGGACAGCGGUGUCAGGUGGUGCAUGGUUGUCGUCAGCUCGUGUCGUGAGAUGUUGGGUUAAGUCCCGCAACGAGCGCAACCCUUGAUCUUAGUUGCCAGCAUUCAGUUGGGCACUUUAAGGUGGCUGCCGGUGGCAAACCGGAGGAAGGUGGGGAUGACGUCAAAUCAUCAUGCCCCUUAUGGCCUGGGGUACCCCCGUGCUACAAUGGGCGGUACAAAGGGGUGCAAACCCGCGAGGGGGAGCCAAUCCCAGAAAACCGUUUUCAGUUCGGAUUGCAGGUUGCAAAUUGCCUGCAUGAAGCUGGAAUCGGUUGUAAUUGUGGAUCAGCAUGGCACGGUGAAUACGUUUCCGGGCCUUGUACACCCCGCCCGUCACCCCCAGAGAGUUUGUAACCCCCGAAGUCGGUGAGGUAAACCUUGUGGAGCCAGCCUCC
rnacentral:rRNA from 1 species